rnacentral:misc_RNA from 1 species
AGACUGAUUGUUUCUCUGCAAUUGGAUCAUUCCAUAGGAAAACAGAAGGACCUAGUUUUACAAAAUUCUUCCCUCUGAACUCCCUCGAAAUGAAGCGAAACAAAACACCGAUUCAACUUAGUCGGUGACCGGUGGUUCACGGUCCCCAAAGGCGGCUUUUUCAGUUCAUACUCAUCUCCGUAUAGAGAGAGAGAGAGAGAGAGA